AGUGCUCCUGCUGACCUUCCCUGUCUGCAGCCCAGCUUUGGACUGUGGAGAUGCCCUCAGCCUCUACUCAGUGGCUCCAGCCUCAUAUUUGCGUGCUAUACCUUUAACCUCAAGUUCUCUUGCUGCUAACUUAAGCUGUGACUGUCCAGGACCUGCACACACACAUACAUGCACGCAUGCACACACACACACACACACACAGAAGGUGAACACACAGGAUGAGGCCCUGAAAACUCAUUUCACCCGUGUACCUCACCCAAAAAUUCCCCUUUGUACUCCUAUCUUUAUCUCUAACUGACAGCAUGAAGGUAGCCCGAAGUCCCCUCACCCUGUCUGUCCUCCUGAUUCUCUAGCCCAGUUCCCUCUAGCUCCAGCACAGACUCUUAUCUCCAGCCCUGACUGCUGAAACCCUCCAGCCCCAGCUCCAGCCCCUCAGGAGGGGACUGCGUGGGAGGAAUGACUCCAGCAAGCCGGCAGCUGACCCGUCUCUGGCCUGCAUGCCUCCCCCUGUGGUCCACUGCCGGUGGUCUUCAGCUCUCUCCUCGUCCCACCCCCAUGGUCUGCUGACAGCCCAGCCCAGUGCAUCCCUGCCAUCUCUGCUCUACCGCUGGUCCUCCCAACAACCAACUUACAGCUUCCAAUUGUGGACAAGAUAAGGACCAUUGCCCAGGCUGUCUAUGGAGCCAAAGAUAUCGAACUCUGUCCUGAGGCACAAGUCAAAAUAGAUCGUUACACUCAGCAGGGUUUUGGAAAUUUGCCCAUCUGCAUGGCAAAGACCGAUCUUUCUCUGUCUCACCAACCUGACAAAAAAGGUGUGCCAAGGGACUUCAUCUUACCUAUCAGUGAUGUCCGGGCCAGCAUAGGUGCUGGGUUCAUUUACCCUUUGGUCGGAACGGUGCACCACUGACAUCAUGGCUCGGCUGGACUCUGGAAAGCAGGAAAUUGCUGGAGUAUGUUUGGGCAUCAAUGAUGUCACCCGCUACGAAUGCCGGGUGGGGUUACUGGACUGAGGGCCAUGAAGAAAGAAAGCUGCGGCCCUGCCCCGUGGACUCACUGCCAUUCUGUUCUUUCUCACGUUUCAGUUCAGCUCACUUUGUUUUCCGUCCCCCUCCCUCUACUGUAAAAGUAUGUACUCAUUGUUUCAUUUCCUGCUGGAUCUGAUUCAGGUCAGUGAUGAAGUUCUUUGCGAGCUCAGUGGGGAGGCGUUUCCUCCCUUUCAUACCGGCCCUGCUUAGGGAUGCAUGGUUGGUUAUAUACUUGCUUCACUCGGUUAGGCAUGGAGGAGAAUUCAUUCAGACCUCAUAGGUUUAAAUCAAAUGCAUGACCCUUCACAUUUUCCAGAGAUUUAGACAGUUACAGUGAGACAAUUAAACAUUCACCCCCCAAGCUGCACUUGGAGAUGUGUAAGCAGUAAUGUAGUCAUGCGCUCCCCAUGAUAUGAGAGUGUGCAGAAUGCCACUCCCCACAGCAGGUCCACCAGGACCUCCUCAGGGAGCAUCUUGCCUACAAAAUCACCCAUCCCUUUUCCCCCACUUUCUUCACUUUCCCUACGUUUCCACUCCCACACCCACAAAUAAACAAAGAAACUUUGAGCUUAUUUUACAAAA